rnacentral:rRNA from 1 species
AGCGAACGCUGGCGGCAGGCUUAACACAUGCAAGUCGAGCGGGCACUUCGGUGUCAGCGGCAGACGGGUGAGUAACACGUGGGAACGUACCCUUUGGUUCGGAAUAACGCUGGGAAACUAGCGCUAAUACCGGAUACGCCCUUUUGGGGAAAGGCUUGCUGCCGAAGGAUCGGCCCGCGUCUGAUUAGCUAGUUGGUGGGGUAAUGGCCUACCAAGGCGACGAUCAGUAGCUGGUCUGAGAGGAUGAUCAGCCACACUGGGACUGAGACACGGCCCAGACUCCUACGGGAGGCAGCAGUGGGGAAUAUUGGACAAUGGGCGCAAGCCUGAUCCAGCCAUGCCGCGUGAGUGAUGAAGGCCUUAGGGCUGUAAAGCUCUUUUGUCCGGGACGAUAAUGACGGUACCGGAAGAAUAAGCCCCGGCUAACUUCGUG